AUUGAACGCUGGCGGCAGGCCUAACACAUGCAAGUCGAACGGUAGCACAGAGAGCUUGCUCUCGGGUGACGAGUGGCGGACGGGUGAGUAAUGUCUGGGAAACUGCCCGAUGGAGGGGGAUAACUACUGGAAACGGUAGCUAAUACCGCAUAACGUCUUCGGACCAAAGUGGGGGACCUUCGGGCCUCACACCAUCGGAUGUGCCCAGAUGGGAUUAGCUAGUAGGUGGGGUAAUGGCUCACCUAGGCGACGAUCCCUAGCUGGUCUGGGAGGAUGACCAGCCACACUGGAACGGGGACACGGUCCAGACUCCUACGGGAGGCAGCAGUGGGGAAUAUUGCACAAUGGGCGCAAGCCUGAUGCAGCCAUGCCGCGUGUAUGAAGAAGGCCUUCGGGUUGUAAAGUACUUUCAGCGGGGAGGAAGGCGUUAAGGUUAAUAACCUUGGCGAUUGACGUUACCCGCAGAAGAAGCACCGGCUAACUCCGUGCCAGCAGCCGCAGUAA
rnacentral:rRNA from 1 species